AAAACAAAGAGAGACACAGACCUUGGACUCUCGCGUAACGGCAAUGAGUCUCUUUCUCAACUCUUGUAUCGAUAUCUGUGCUCUAUUCAUCUCUCCCUCUCUCUCUCUCUCUCUCUCUCUCUCUCUCUCUCUCUCUUUAAAGCAGCUCACUUUACUUAAAAUUGCCAGUAGAUCUAACUCUUUUAGGGUUUAAGAGCAUUGGAACUCUCCGGCCAUGGAUUCACUUCUCUCAAGCAGCUCCUAUAGAUUCGUUGGAAAUGGUCAUAUCAAACAAGAGAGAUUUUGCAGAGAGCUGAUCCAAGGAUAUUCACCUGGUUAGAACCGCGGUGAGUUUCGAUUAUGCCGCAAGGUUGGGGGGAUUGGAAUGAAGCCAUUGGUCCGUGCUUUUAGGGAUAGAUGUAUACAAAAACAUUGAUGUCUAUCUUCUCUUUCGUUUGGAAAAUUAUCUGGAUUCUCGUACUACAAUCAUUUCUGGUUCCAAUUCAAAGUCUUCUUUCAUAUA